rnacentral:rRNA from 1 species
CCUACGGGAGGCAGCAGUGGGGAAUAUUGCACAAUGGGCGAAAGCCUGAUGCAGCAACGCCGCGUGAGGGACGACGGCCUUCGGGUUGUAAACCUCUUUUAGUAGGGAAGAAGCGAAAGUGACGGUACCUGCAGAAAAAGCACCGGCUAACUACGUGCCAGCAGCCGCGGUAAUACGUAGGGUGCAAGCGUUAUCCGGAAUUAUUGGGCGUAAAGAGCUCGUAGGCGGUUUGUCGCGUCUGCUGUGAAAACUGGGGGCUCAACCCCCAGCCUGCAGUGGGUACGGGCAGACUAGAGUGCGGUAGGGGAGAUUGGAAUUCCUGGUGUAGCGGUGGAAUGCGCAGAUAUCAGGAGGAACACCGAUGGCGAAGGCAGAUCUCUGGGCCGUAACUGACGCUGAGGAGCGAAAGCAUGGGGANCGAACAGGAUUAGAUACCCUGGUAGUCCAUGCCGUAAACGUUGGGAACUAGAUGUAGGGACCAUUCCACGGUUUCUGUGUCGCAGCUACGACAUACGUUACCCGUCCGUCGGGUAGGUACGGCCGCGACGGACGUAAACUAACAAGAAGUAGUACGACGNGUAGACGACGCGACGACGACGACGACGGAGGAGG